rnacentral:rRNA from 2 species
AAGGUAGCAUAUAAUUUGCCCUUUAAUUGUGGGCUAGUAUGAACGGAAAAACGAGAGCAAAGCUGUCUCUUAAGCACCAAAUAAAAUUACCCUUUAGGUGAAGAGGCCUAAAUUAUAUUAAAAGACAAAAAGACCCUGUAGAGCUUAAUCAAUAAUUACUAAAGAAAAACUAAUAUAUAUAUUUCCCCUUAAAUAUAAUUUUGAUUUAGCUGGGGCGGCUAAGGACCACAAUAACCUUCCUUUCUUAAUUAAGGCCCCAAACCUACUAAAUGAUCCUAAACAGACUAAAGAAAUAAGCUACCUCAGGGAUAACAGGCUUAUAUCUUCUGAGAGCACCUAUCGAAGAAGAACUUUGGCACCUCG